AUUGAACGCUGGCGGCAGGCUUAACACAUGCAAGUCGAGCGGGGGAAGGUAGCUUGCUACCGGACCUAGCGGCGGACGGGUGAGUAAUGCUUAGGAAUCUGCCUAUUAGUGGGGGACAACAUCACGAAAGGGAUACUAAUACCGCAUACGUCCUACGGGAGAAAGCAGGGGAUCACUUGUGACCUUGCGCUAAUAGAUGAGCCUAAGUCGGAUUAGCUAGUUGGAGGGGUAAAGGCCUACCAAGGCGACGAUCUGUAGCGGGUCUGAGAGGAUGAUCCGCCACACUGGGACUGAGACACGGCCCAGACUCCUACGGGAGGCAGCAGUGGGGAAUAUUGGACAAUGGGGGGAACCCUGAUCCAGCCAUGCCGCGUGUGUGAAGAAGGCCUUAUGGUUGUAAAGCACUUUAAGCGAGGAGGAGGCUCUUUUGGUUAAUACCCAAGAUGAGUGGACGUUACUCGCAGAAUAAGCACCGGCUAACUCUGUGCCAGCCGCCGCCGUAA
rnacentral:rRNA from 1 species